AGUGAACGCUGGCGGUAGGCCUAACACAUGCAAGUCGAACGGCAGCACAGGAGAGCUUGCUCUCUGGGUGGCGAGUGGCGGACGGGUGAGGAAUACAUCGGAAUCUACUUUUUCGUGGGGGAUAACGUAGGGAAACUUACGCUAAUACCGCAUACGACCUACGGGUGAAAGCAGGGGACCUUCGGGCCUUGCGCGAUUGAAUGAGCCGAUGUCGGAUUAGCUAGUUGGCGGGGUAAAGGCCCACCAAGGCGACGAUCCGUAGCUGGUCUGAGAGGAUGAUCAGCCACACUGGAACUGAGGCACGGUCCAGACUCCUACGGGAGGCAGCAGUGGGGAAUAUUGGACAAUGGGCGCAAGCCUGAUCCAGCCAUACCGCGUGGGUGAAGAAGGCCUUCGGGUUGUAAAGCCCUUUUGUUGGGGAAGAAAUCCAGCUGGCUAAUACCCGGUUGGGAUGACGGUACCCAAAGAAUAAGCACCGGCUAACUUCGUGCCAGCCGCCGCAGUAA
rnacentral:rRNA from 1 species